rnacentral:rRNA from 1 species
UACGAAGGGGGCUAGCGUUGCUCGGAAUCACUGGGCGUAAAGCGCACGUAGGCGGCUUCUUAAGUCAGGGGUGAAAUCCUGGAGCUCAACUCCAGAACUGCCUUUGAUACUGAGGAGCUUGAGUCCGGGAGAGGUGAGUGGAACUGCGAGUGUAGAGGUGAAAUUCGUAGAUAUUCGCAAGAACGCCAGUGGCGAAGGCGGCUCACUGGCCCGGUACUGACGCUGAGGUGCGAAAGCGUGGGGAGCAAACAGG